rnacentral:misc_RNA from 1 species
GUGAUUUAUGAGUUCAUGUAACUGCUUGUUCGAUUUAAACAAAGUAAUUCAUAAUUACCGAUAGCUAACGGUUCAACUUGAAUCUAGGCCUUGAAGCGAAUUAGAGCAAUCAAUUUCGAGACCGAAAGGAUCAUAGCUUACUCGGCCAGCAUUAGCUCUCCAAUCUACGAUAGAAGUCACUCUGCCACCAGUGAGAUUUGGAACGCGAAAAGCUAGUAUUCUAAUCACGAAGCCAGCCGGACAUUGAAAUGUUGUCGCUACAAAUGCUGUUGAAAAGGACCACGAUCACUCUGAGUGGAACUUGCACAUUGGAUCGAGAGUUUGCAUUCAAAUUGUUUGGCGGAACCAUCAUCAACCUUAUCAUAC